rnacentral:lncRNA from 1 species
UGAAUCAAAGUACACACAGGCAUAGUUGCAAAAGACAAUGGGAUUGUUUGAUAGCCAUAUACUGAAUUCACAACAGAGCAAAUUUGCUGCAAGUGUAAGUGGGUACAGUACUUGAUGCCUUAGACUAUCUCAAGUAGCUUACACAUCCCCAUACCUAUAUUUAAACUCCACUCUGCGAACAAUACAGUCUACAGUGCAAAACAAUGUUUUUGGGUAAACUAUGGAUAGACUACUGCAGACGGCCUUAGUAGCAAGAAAAACAUUAUCAUUCUAGCGUCAUUUAAACUCCAUACAGUUUUGAUUUAAUUUCGCCAAACAGUCAUACAAUUUUUAUUUAAUUUCACCAAACAGUGCAAUGUUGGCUGAGAGCCAGAAAAUGUUAGGUGGAAG